rnacentral:misc_RNA from 1 species
AACUUUCGACAACGGAUCUCUUGGCUCUUGCAUCGAUGAAGAAUGCAGCAAAAUGCGAUACAUAAUGUGAAUUGCAGAAUUCAGUGAAUCAUCGAAUAUUUGAACGCACCUUGUGCCCCUUGGUAUUCCGAGGGGCACACCCGUUUGAGUGUCGUGAAAAUCUCAACCUUCUUGGUUUCUUCUGGACACCGAAGGAGGCUUGGACUUUGGAGGCCUUUGCUGGCGUCUCUCGCCAGCUCCUCUCAAAUGAAUUAGUGGGGUCCUCUUUGCCGAUCCUCGACGUGUGAUAAGAUGUUUCCAUGUCUUGGUUUAUGGCUCUGUUGCUUUUGGGACCCGCUUCUAACCGUCUCAACGAGACAACAUUUGAGCGUGUCGAACACUCUUGAACCCACGAACCCUUGACCUCAAAUCGGGUGAGACUACCCGCUGAACUUAAGCAUAUCAAUAAGCGGAGGCU